GUAAGGAAUAUUGGACAAUGGACGCAAGUCUGAUCCAGCCAUGCCGCGUGAAGGAUUAAGGUCCUCUGGAUUGUAAACUUCUUUUAUAAGGGACGAAAAAAGGCUUUUCUAAGUCGUCUGACGGUACCUUAUGAAUAAGCACCGGCUAACUCCGUGCCAGCAGCCGCGGUAAUACGGAGGGUGCAAGCGUUAUCCGGAUUCACUGGGUUUAAAGGGUGCGUAGGCGGGCAGGUAAGUCAGUGGUGAAAUCCUAGAGCUUAACUCUAGAACUGCCAUUGAUACUAUCUGUCUUGAAUAUUGUGGAGGUAAGUGGAAUAUGUCAUGUAGCGGUGAAAUGCUUAGAUAUGACAUAGAACACCUAUUGCGAAGGCAGCUUACUACGCAUAUAUUGACGCUGAGGCACGAAAGCGUGGGGAUCAAACAGGAUUAGAUACCCGAGUAGUCC
rnacentral:rRNA from 1 species